GUUGGAACUGAUCAUUGCACAUUCAACUCUUGGUUUUGAUGACUUCAGAAAGAUUCCAAAUGGUGUAAAUGGUAUAGAGGAAAGAAUGCACUUAAUUUGGGAUGCUAUGGUGGAAUCUGGCCAAAUAUCUGUUACUGACUACGUGAG